rnacentral:rRNA from 1 species
CGCAUCUGUGCAUGCAGCAUAUCAAUAAGCGGAGGAAAAGAAACUAACAAGGAUUCCCCUAGUAACGGCGAGUGAAGCGGGAAAAGCUCAAAUUUGAAAUCUUAAAGGGUUUCCCUUUACGAAUUGUAGUUUAAAGAAGUGUUUUCUGUUGAGGUUUUGGUAAAAGUUCUUUGGAAUAGGACAUCAUAGAGGGUGAGAAUCCCGUAUUUGACCUUUACUUUCAACUUUGUGAUACACUUUCAAAGAGUCGGAUUGUUUGGGAAUGCAGUCCAAAAUGGGUGGUAAAUUUCAUCUAAAGCUAAAUAUUGGCGAGAGACCGAUAGCGAACAAGUACCGUGAGGGAAAGAUGAAAAGAACUUUGAAAAGAGAGUUAAACAGUACGUGAAAUUGUCAAAAGGGAAGCGUUUGACACCAGUGUUGUUUUCUGAAAAUCAAUUAAAGAACUGUUUAUGCUAAGUUGUUUAGACUUUAUCAGCUAUCUGUUUAGUUUUGAGCUUUUCUUUAAUGCACUUUUCAGUUACAAGUCAACAUCAAUUUCUUUUGCUGUAAAAAAGCUUGAGGAAGGUGGCUUGAGAUUCGUCUUAAGUGUUUAUAGCCUCUUGCCUAUGCAGUCGGAGAGAUUGAGGUCUGCAGCGUAGAUCCUUCGGGGCUAAAUGCAUUUGUGCUAAGUUAUAGCAUUUUAUAGACAACUUGUUGACUAUGAUUUGUCUUGUAGCUUACUCGCUUAUGUUAUUUUACCUACGCUUAGGAUGUUGACGAGACUGUCGAUCUC